rfam:Picea glauca, whole genome shotgun sequence.
GCCUCUAUAGCACAGUGGUAGUGCGUUCGCUUCGUAAGCGAAAGGUCGCGAGUUCGAACCUCGCUGGAGGCU